UGGGGAAUAUUGGACAAUGGGCGAAAGCCUGAUCCAGCCAUGCCGCGUGAGUGACGAAGGCCUUAGGGUUGUAAAACUCUUUCGUCGGGGACGAUAAUGACGGUACCCGAAGAAGAAGCUCCGGCUAACUUCGUGCCAGCAGCCGCGGUAAUACGAAGGGAGCUAGCGUUGUUCGGAUUUACUGGGCGUAAAGGGCGCGUAGGCGGCAUGACAAGUCACUUGUGAAAUCUCUGGGCUUAACCCAGAACGGCCAAGUGAUACUGUCGCGCUAGAGUGCAGAAGGGGCAAUCGGAAUUCUUGGUGUAGCGGUGAAAUGCGUAGAUAUCAAGAGGAACACCUGAGGUGAAGACGGGUUGCUGGGCUGACACUGACGCUGAGGCGCGAAAGCCAGGGGAGCAAACGGGAUUAGAUACCCCGGUAGUCCCUGAGCGGGCUGGCAAGGCGCAU
rnacentral:rRNA from 1 species